UGCAGUCGAGCGGUAACAGGAGAAGCUUGCUUCUCGCUGACGAGCGGCGGACGGGUGAGUAAUACUUAGGAAUCUACCUAGUAGUGGGGGAUAGCACGGGGAAACUCGUAUUAAUACCGCAUACGACCUACGGGAGAAAGGGGGCAGUUUACUGCUCUCGCUAUUAGAUGAGCCUAAGUCGGAUUAGCUAGAUGGUGGGGUAAAGGCCUACCAUGGCGACGAUCUGUAGCUGGUCUGAGAGGAUGAUCAGCCACACCGGGACUGAGACACGGCCCGGACUCCUACGGGAGGCAGCAGUGGGGAAUAUUGGACAAUGGGGGAAACCCUGAUCCAGCCAUGCCGCGUGUGUGAAGAAGGCCUUUUGGUUGUAAAGCACUUUAAGCAGUGAAGAAGACUCCGUGGUUAAUACCCACGGACGAUGACAUUAGCUGCAGAAUAAGCACCGGCUAACUCUGUGCCAGCAGCCGCGGUAAUACAGAGGGUGCAAGCGUUAAUCGGAAUUACUGGGCGUAAAGGGAGCGUAGGUGGCUCUAUAAGUCAGAUGUGAAAUCCCCGGGCUUAACCUGGGAACUGCAUCUGAAACUGUAGAGCUAGAGUAUGUGAGAGGAAGGUAGAAUUCCAGGUGUAGCGGUGAAAUGCGUAGAGAUCUGGAGGAAUACCGAUGGCGAAGGCAGCCUUCUGGCAUAAUACUGACACUGAGGCUCGAAAGCGUGGGUAGCAAACAGGAUUAGAUACCCUGGUAGUCCACGCCGUAAACGAUGUCUACUAGUCGUUGGGUCCCUUGAGGACUUAGUGACGCAGCUAACGCAAUAAGUAGACCGCCUGGGGAGUACGGCCGCAAGGUUAAAACUCAAAUGAAUUGACGGGGGCCCGCACAAGCGGUGGAGCAUGUGGUUUAAUUCGAUGCANGCGAAGAACCUUACCUG
rnacentral:rRNA from 1 species